CAUCCUCUCGUUCCAGUUUUAUUAUGUACCAAGUGCACAAUCCCUUCAUUUUACUUUUGACAUAAAAAAAGGACUUCAUGAAACAAGACAAAAUAACUUAUGAUUAUAUGAAACAUAACUGUGACAAAUCACAAAACUAUACAUAUUAAUAGAAAAAAAAGUGUACCUAAUUCUUUAAAAGAUUUAUGACAAUAAGCACCAGAUGUGCCCCUAGAGUAAAAUCAGCCCCAUAUCCAGUAUGAUAUAUGCGGUUCAUUUCUCUACGUGAGUGUAUAUAACUAUGUACAAGAGUCUGUGUGAUUUAUGGAAAACAGAUUUCCACUUUUUCCCCCCAAAUGCUUUAUGUCAGCAACAUUACACAGGAUGCUCUGCUGUCUGUACAAAAUAAAUCUCUUCUUUUUUUACACUUGCCUUUUCUCCCAUAAGUGUUUUUUUGUUUUGUUUUUUGUUUUUUGUCUUUUUUUGCUUUACUGAAAAAAAAAAAAAAAAAAAAAAGUAACCGCAGAAAUUCCACACCACCAACAAAAGUGCCAUUAAAAAUGCUGCUAUAAAUUGACAUGGUCAAAACAGUCAAAUAAAAUACCAAACAGUUAAGCUGGACAUUUACAAUAACUAUUCCCAAUAUUUCAAGGCAACUGGGAAACAAGGUUCUCUGAUAGGAGGCUGAACAUUUACCUCUGUUCUUGUAUGCUAAUAUGCUUGACAGCUGCUAAUUUAAACAAAGGAACAGCACCAAAGCUCUUUUUCAUCAGUGGAAACUUUGCUCUGAUUGACUGAAGACCUUUUGUUCAUUUUAGAAUCACCUAAAUAAUUUGGGGGAGACAUCGUGUAAUGGGAGACACCCCACAGGACAAGUAAAUAUUUAACAGCUGAUCAGAGGCUACAUUACAACUCACAUUUUGAUGUAGUCCCUUCAGGGAAUUGAUACAAUGCAGAAAAUGAAAUGUCUCCAGGCAUACUGAUUUUCUUUUAAUGUAAGAGGAUAAUUGACUUUUGGGCUGUGUGUCUUUUCACAAGUAACAGUUUUUUGAAAAAAGGGGAAUGACAACCUCUGUUCAGAUGUUUAUGAAAAUGGUUACAUAUCAAGAGUAAAAAGGCUAGGAAAUGGAAGGGAAUGAUUUUUUGAAGUUUCUACCCUUUACUGCUACAAACAUAAUGAUGAAAGGAUACAUAAAUUUUAGGCAAUGUGAAAGUAAGCAAGGGACAAAUUUUAACGUCAGGAGAGAUUCUGGAAUUUGAGAACAGCCUGUAUCGUCUAGAAGGAACCUGGAGGUGUCACAUCCUGGGGCCCUAAACUCAAGCCUGCAGCCAUGUGGGAAGAUGGAUGGGGAGUGAGGGGAGCUCAGCCUUGCAGGCUGCAAUGGGCCCAGCCCCUCUGCUAACAGCAAUGCCCCACAAGGGAUGGGCCAAUCCUGCUGGGGAAGGAAUACUAAGAGGUACUAGGAGUAGCUGCUGCCUGGUACCCCUGGCUCCCUUUGAGGCCAGUGAUAAGACUAGAGAUGCUCAAGAGCAUCUCAUCCAGCUCUUGAGGUUUUUGAGGCUCAGUUCUGGCUUUGUCCUCCUUCCCUGUUUCCACCUUAAACUAAAGCAAAAAGCCACAGGCAGACUGACUACAUCAGCUGCAGUAACAACCUUGCCUUUCUGUCUUUUCCUCAUCACACAAAUGAAAUAUGUUUGAAGUUCCUCGUUAAAGCCUUCAGUAUUUAGACUGGAUAGGUUGUCUCUAAGUUACCAGAGCUUUCCCUUCUCUGUGGAGUGUAACAGAGGACAUGGGUUCCUGCUUAGGCCAAGUGACACGACCCACAAAGCCUGCCAGAAGGGUGGGGCUUUGUGCACAGUCUGAAAGCUCAUUUGGAGAGAAAUGAGUAUAUUUCCUUUCAUAAAGCAGAGCAGAUUUUUGUAAAGUGAGUAACUUGGCUCUUUUGAGGACACAGCUGUCUGCAUGAUGGCUCUUCUCAGAUCAGAGCCCACUAGCCAGAGAAACUAGAUGACUGAGUGCACUGUAAAAACGGACCCCACACUUGGUUCUUUAUGUGCCUAGUUCUACCAUAUGUUGGAAUGAAGUCCGGAAUCAGGCAGAACACUACCGACUGUGUCACCAGACUGCCAGGAUACAAACUGUCACUGCAUCCCAAGUCUGACACCAAGCCGGUUUAAUUGUCUUCUUAAAGAUUGUAAUUAUUUCAGUUUGACAAACAGCAUUGAUUCAUUUUUCUUCAGAGAAAAUUUUUAAAGAGAGAAAAGAAAUGGUAAAAUGGGAUAGUACUAGAAUGUCACAUUUACCAGGUUUCUUUGGGGUUUGGCUAAUUUUUAUAGCCUAUGCCAUAGGACUCUCAAUCUUUUUAUUUUAUUUAUUUAUUUGUCUUUUUUUUUUUUUUUAAGGGCCACACCCAUGCCAUAUAGGAGUUCCCAGGCUAGGCGUCGAAUUGGAGCUGUAGCUGCCGGCCUACACCACAGCCAUAGCAACGCCAGAUCUGAGCCACAUCUGCUACCUAUACCACAGGCCACAGCAACAUCAGAUCCUUAACCCACUGAGCGAGGACAGGGAUCGAACCCGCAUCCUCAAAGAUCCUGGUCAGGUUCGCUACCACUGAGCCGCAGGGGGAGCUUCUGGAUCUUUUUGAUAGCUUGGCAAAGGUGUCACAGAAAAUGGCUUCCUAUUCAGUUUUGAUACCAAACAGCCAAGAGCUCUGUGAAAAUUCUAACCCUCAAAAUAGAGCUUUAGGAAAAAAAGGUUGCUUCCUUCUGGCCGCCUUUCCAGAACUUUCCCCUCUACCUACCUCAGGCCAGACCUUGCUCAGAGAUAGUGGUCAGACAAUGGUGGGUGCUGGGCAUAUCUGAACCACAGUUAAGAAGGCGGCGAGAGGCAUGCAAAAAGAGGGAGAGGGAAGGCCAAGGGACAGACAGGCCAGGGGAGAGCCUAACGGAGGGAGCAGAGGCUGUGCAGAACAACUAGACGUUGGCGUCUCUAGUUUGGGUUUCUGAGAGAACCCAGGAGCACCCCUGGUGUCCUUGCUCUCACAGCUUCUAGCUUAGCUCUGGGCAGAGCACCAGAGUGGAGGCGAGGGAUGAACUGUCAGGUGACCUUCUCCUUUAUACAAGGUCUUUGAGGUGGGGGUGGCUGCACAGUUAACCUAAAAGGGUCUCUGUGGCAACACUGGGAAGGGAGUGGUCCCCCAUUUCCCUCAGGCAGCCUUUGCUGAGAGCAAGACUAACAUUCUGGGUGCUCACAGGUGCUGUGAGGCACAACCAGGCAGAGCAACAGUGGAGCAAAAUGUAUGGAGCUGGGGUGAUUAAAAUAAUUAUUUCCAUCCAAAGAAAGACCUUGAAGUAUUUUUUUUUCCUUUAAAAGUAGAUGUAAAUAACAAGUCUUUAAAAUGAAAGGGCUAAGAUAGGUUGCAGGAUUAUAAAACAAGUUGUAGUGCUUUUCAAGGGGCUGUGCUUGACAGAACCUUCUUAUUUUGCUUCUGGAGAAACACUGAAAAGCAGUUGCUUAGCAUGGGAAUAUCUAAGAGGAGAGAGGCAGCCAGCUCACUGGAAUGCCAGGCCAGUGCUGGGAAACCUGGGGCUCCUCCAAGAGCUGAGCCCAUGCCAUGCUUUAGAGGUGUAUUUUCCUCGGAGUGCCUGGCUCUUGGGCAAGGCAGUUUACUGUGCUUCUGGCAAUCUGGGUUGUCCUUUCCUAUAUGGAGUUUUUAUCAAUGAUGAUCCCCAAACUACAUUUUCAUAUGCACAUCACUUCAAUGGUGUCCUUUGAAGGAUGAGAGCCAGGAAGUAACAGGUAUCCGGUAGAGUGAGACUCUGAAUUCCCUUUGAAAAGACAGUCCUACUGGUCACUGGCAAACCCAGAGAGAAAAAGGAGCAGCUGCAAACACUCCUGCAAAGCCCAGCUCUGACCAUCCAGCCCUGCC
ensembl:lncRNA